rnacentral:rRNA from 1 species
UACAGAGGGGGCAAGCGUUGUUCGGAAUUAUUGGGCGUAAAGAGCGUGUAGGCGGUCCGGUAAGUCGGCUGUGAAAGUCCAGGGCUCAACCCUGGGAUGCCGGUCGAUACUGCCGGACUAGAGUUCGGAAGAGGCGAAUGGAAUUCCCGGUGUAGCGGUGAAAUGCGCAGAUAUCGGGAGGAACACCUAUGGCGAAGGCAGCUCGCUGGGACGUUGCUGACGCUGAGACGCGAAAGCGUGGGGAGCGAACAGG